rnacentral:rRNA from 1 species
UAGUGGCGAACGGGUGAGUAACACGUGGGCAAUCUGCCCUUCACUCUGGGACAAGCCCUGGAAACGGGGUCUAAUACCGGAUAACACCUGCCCGGGCAUCCGGGUGGGUUAAAAGCUCCGGCGGUGAAGGAUGAGCCCGCGGCCUAUCAGCUUGUUGGUGAGGUAGUGGCUCACCAAGGCGACGACGGGUAGCCGGCCUGAGAGGGCGACCGGCCACACUGGGACUGAGACACGGCCCAGACUCCUACGGGAGGCAGCAGUGGGGAAUAUUGCACAAUGGGCGAAAGCCUGAUGCAGCGACGCCGCGUGAGGGAUGACGGCCUUCGGGUUGUAAACCUCUUUCAGCAGGGAAGAAGCGAAAGUGACGGUACCUGCAGAAGAAGCGCCGGCUAACUACGUGCCAGCAGCCGCGGUAAUACGUAGGGCGCAAGCGUUGUCCGGAAUUAUUGGGCGUAAAGAGCUCGUAGGCGGCUUGUCACGUCGGGUGUGAAAGCCCGGGGCUUAAC